AGAGUUUGGUCUGGCUCUGACUAACGCUGGCGGCGGGUUUAUCACAUGCAAGUCGAUGGAAAUGGCGAUUGCUUGCACUUGCCGGAGACUGGCGCACGGGUGAGUAACGCGUAGACAACCUGCCUAUAACUGGGGGAUAACACACCGAAAGGUGUGCUAAUACCGCAUAUUGUUUUUUUCUCACAUGAGGGGGUGGUGAAAGACUUCGGCUGGUUAUAGAUGGGUCUGCGUGCCAUUAGUUAGUUGGUGGGGUAAAAGCCUACCAAGGCGAUGAUGGCUAGGGGGUCUGAGAGGAUGAUCCCCCACACUGGGACUGAGACACGGCCCACACUCCUACGGGAGGCAGCAGUGAGGAAUCUUGCGCAAUGGGGGUAACCCUGACGCAGCCACGCCGCGUGCCGGAAGACGGCCCUAUGGGUUGUAAACGGCUUUUACAUGGGAAGAAAGUGCAGGUUUCGACCAGCAUUGACGGUACCAUUUGAAUAAGCACCGGCUAACUCCGUGCCAGCAGCCGCGGUAAUACGGAGGGUGCAAGCGUUGUCCGGAAUCAUUGGGUGUAAAGGGUGCGUAGGCUGGCGCCUAAGUCUGAGGUGAAAUCUUGCCGCUUUAACGGUAAAAUUGCCUUGGAUACUGGGUGUCUUGAAUCUGACAGAGGUCGGUGGAAUUCGUGGUGUAGCGGUGAAAUGCAUAGAUAUCACGAAGAACAUCAGUGGCGGAGGCGGCCGGCUGGGUCAGUAUUGACGCUGAGGCACGAGAGCGUGGGGAGCGAACAGGAUUAGAUACCCUGGUAGUUCACACAAUAAAAAGAAGUAAGAUAGUGGGGACCUUUCGGGGUCCCGUGGGGCAGAUAACGCAGUGAGCAUACUCCUGGGGAGUACGUUAGCCAGAACGAAACUCAUAGGAAUGGGCGGGGGCCCGCACAAGCGGUGGAGCAUGUGUAUUAAUUCGAUGCAACGCGAAGAACCUUCCCCGGGAUAAAUCUCCGGCGACCGGUCCUGAAAAGGACCUUCCUUUCGGGGCGCCGAAGAAGGUGAAGCAUGGCUGUCGUCAGCUCAUUCCGUGAGGUGGUGCCUUAAGUGGCGCAACGAGCGCAUCCCCUGUGGUUUGAAGACAGCACGUAAUUAUGGGGACUUUAGCCAGACUGCCUACGCAAGUAUUGAGGAAGGUGGGGCCGACGUCAAGGAAUCAUGACCCAAAUGUCCGGGGUUGGGCACGUGCUACAAGAGAGGGUUCAGUGGGAAGCCGCCCCGGGAGGGGGUGCAGAUCUCGAAACCCAUUCUCAGUUAGGAGAGGAGUAUGCACAUCGACUCCAACACUUUCGCCUCAAUCGUCAUCGAGAAUCUGCAAAGGCGCGGUGAAUACGUUCCAAGCCCAUCGUCCAUGUUCCCUUCAAUCGAUGGAUGUCAGGCGGACAUGAUGUC
rnacentral:rRNA from 1 species